UGAUCAGGGCUUUCGGGAGUCUCCUAAUUGAUAAAAGAUGUUAUCAGCCUGGAUUUCGGGAGUCUCCUGAUCGAAAAAAGAUGUUAUCAGCCUGGAUUUCGGGAGUCUCCUUAUCGAAAAAAGUUGUUAUGAUCAGGGAUUUCGGGAGUCUCCUAAUUGAUAAAAGAUGUUAUUAUCAGGGAAAUCUGG